AUUCAAAUAGCUUAUGUAGAGUUUAAUAUUGAAGAUAUUAAGGAAAUUGAUUAUUUUUGAAUA
rnacentral:tRNA from 1 species